rnacentral:rRNA from 1 species
CGGCAUCGUUUUGUGUUGAAAGCUCCGGCGGUUAAAGAUGAGUAUGCGUCUGAUUAGCUAGUUGGUGAGGUAACGGCUCACCAAGGCGACGAUCAGUAGGGGAUCUGAGAGGAUUAACCCCCACACGGAUACUGAGACACGGAUCCGACUCCUACGGGAGGCAGCAGUAAGGAAUAUUGGACAAUGCCCGCAAGGGUGAUCCAGCCAUGCCGCGUGCAGGAAGACGGCCCUAUGGGUUGUAAACUGCUUUUGUACCGGAGAAAACCUCCCCUCGUGAGGGGAGCUGAUAGUAUGGUAAGAAUAAGCAUCGGCUAACUUCGUGCCAGCAGCCGCGGUAAGACGAAGGAUGCAAGCGUUAUCCGGAUUCAUUGGGUUUAAAGGGAGCGUAGGUGGUCUUAUAAGUCAGUGGUGAAAUCUCGCAGCUUAMCUGCGAAAUUGCCAUUGAUACUGUAGGACUUGAGUACAGUUGCC